AACGAACGCUGGCGGCAUGCCUAACACAUGCAAGUCGAACGAGACCUUCGGGUCUAGUGGCGCACGGGUGCGUAACGCGUGGGAACCUGCCCUUAGGUUCGGAAUAACUCCCCGAAAGGGGUGCUAAUACCGGAUAAUGUCUUCGGACCAAAGAUUUAUCGCCUUUGGAUGGGCCCGCGUUGGAUUAGCUAGUUGGUAGGGUAAAAGCCUACCAAGGCGACGAUCCAUAGCUGGUCUGAGAGGAUGAUCAGCCACACUGGGACUGGGACACGGCCCAGACUCCUACGGGAGGCAGCAAUGGGGAAUAUUGGACAAUGGGCGAAAGCCUGAUCCAGCAAUGCCGCGUGAGUGAUGAAGGCCUUAGGGUUGUAAAGCUCUUUUACCCGGGAUGAUAAUGACAGUACCGGGAGAAUAAGCUCCGGCUAACUCCGUG
rnacentral:rRNA from 1 species